GUUCAUAGCAACGCAAUGGAUGGCGCGUUGGACUUCUAAUCCAAAGUCGUGGGUUCGAAUUCCACCUGGGAUG